rnacentral:rRNA from 1 species
AGAGUUUGAUCCUGGCUCAGGACGAACGUUGGCGGCGUGCUUAACACAUGCAAGUCGAACGAUUGAGAGGUGAGAGGUGAGAGGUUAGAAAUGAGAGUAAGAACGGGUGAGUAACGCGUGGAUAAUCUGCCUGUAAGACAGGGAUAACGCCGGGAAACCGGUGCUAAUACCGGAUAACCUCUUUGGAUCGCAUGAUGUGAAGAGAAAAGGUGGCCUCUUUACAAUGCUACCACUUACAGAUGAAUCCGCGUCCCAUUAGCCAGUUGGUGGGGUAAUGGCCUACCAAAGCGACGAUGGGUAGCCGGCCUGAGAGGGUGGCACUGAGAUACGGUCCAGACUCCUACGGGAGGCAGCAGUGGGGAAUCUUCCGCAAUGGGGGAAACCCUGACGCAGCGACGCCGCGUGGAUGAUGAAGGCCUUCGGGUCGUAAAAUCCUGUCAGAUGGAAAGAAGUGCAUGGUGGCUCAACUGAAAUAAGCACCGGCUAACUACGUGCCAGCAGCCGCGGUAAUACGUAGGGGGCGAACGUUAUUCGGAAUUACUGGGCGUAAAGCGCGCGUAGGCGGUUUAUUAAGUCAAAAGUGAAAACUCCAGGCUCAACUCGGAGACUGCUUCUGAAACUGGCAGACUUGAGUGCAAAAGAGGGAAGUGGAAUUCCUAGUGUAGCGGUGAAAUGCGUAGAUAUUAGGAGGAACACCAGUGGCGAAGGCGACUUCCUGGCUUGUAACUGACACUGAGGCGCGAAAGCGUGGGGAUCAAACAGGAUUAGAUACCCUGGUAGUCCACGCCGUAAACGAUGAGUGCUAGGUGUCGGGGGUAUCGACCCCCUCGGUGCCACAGCUAACGCAAUAAGCACUCCGCCUGGGGAGUACGGUCGCAAGACUGAAACUCAAAGGAAUUGACGGGGGCCCGCACAAGCGGUGGAGUAUGUGGUUUAAUUCGACGCAACGCGAAGAACCUUACCAAGGCUUGACAUCCCGUGACCGCUGUGGAAACACAGUUUUGCAGGUUUACCUGCACACGGAGACAGGUGGUGCAUGGUUGUCGUCAGCUCGUGUCGUGAGAUGUUGGGUUAAGUCCCGCAACGAGCGCAACCCUUACCUUUAGUUGCACUAACGAGUGGAGUCGAGCACUCUGGCAGAACUGCCGGUGAUAAACCGGAGGAAGGUGGGGAUGACGUCAAAUCAUCAUGCCCCUUAUGUCUUGGGCUACACACGUACUACAAUGGCCUGUACAGACGGUAGCAAGACUGCGAGGUGGAGCAAAACCCAUAAAACAGGUCUCAGUUCGGAUUGUAGGCUGCAACUCGCCUACAUGAAGUCGGAAUCGCUAGUAAUCGCAGGUCAGCAUACUGCGGUGAAUACGUUCCCGGGCCUUGUACACACCGCCCGUCACACCACGAAAGUCGGCAACACCCGAAGCCGGUGACUCAACCCGUAAGGGAGAGAGCCGUCGAAGGUGGGGUUGGUAAUUGGGGUGAAGUCGUAACAAGGUAACC